CUUCGGAAGUACCUGUUGGAGGGAGUGUAGCAGUAAUGGCUUUUCAAAGCAUGAGAAUCAAUAGGCACAUUCCAAUGAGCAAACCCCAGGAAUCCACCUGUUCUCAUCUUGCCAACAAUGCUCCUUCCACGGAAACUGACCCUGUCCUAUUUCCUCGCUUUGAUCAUUGCCCAGAAGGAACAGGGACUGUUGAGAAACAGAGGCAGCGUGCAGCCUGAAGGCAUGCACCGUGCAGAAGAGGAUCCCUGCGGCUGCGGGCUCUUUUCCAGGCCCAAGGACAAGGCGGUGUGUGCCGGGUUGAUCUGCACUGCUUUAGCCAGGAUGGCUCUUCUUAGAGAGACAAACCGCUCCAACGCCAAACUGCCCUCGCAAUUCCAAUCGCAAAGGCAGGCUAGGGCCACAGUUCAAACCCAACUGCCAAUGUCCACAAAGAAAAGAAGAAAGCUGGAAAUGCAGUUGGUCUUGCCAUGCUGGCCGCUCAGCUUCUCACCCCCAGGCCUAAGAAGGACAAGGUGAGGAUGAGUUCCAUUUACAGAGUCCUCACCAGGUGCCAGUCACGAUCUCAAUGUCUCACAGCUGCCAUCCCGCCAGGCUCCCAGGAGGAAGGUGCUGCUAUUUAUUAUCCACAGGACAGACCCCACAGCUGGCAAGUGGCUGGGCCAGGAACCAGCUAGGGCAGGUUUGUCCCAUACUCUCUACCCAUGAGCACGAGGCUGUGCUGUUCAUGUCUCCAUUCAAACACAGGCUGAUAUUUCCACUCCAGGGGAAAAAAGGUAGAAAAAAAUAUAUAUAUAUGUAUGUAUAUACAUUUGAGACAGAGUCUCACUCUGUUGCCCAGGCUGGAGUGCAGUGGCAGGAUCACAGCUCACUGUAGUCUGGACUUCCCAGGCUUAAAGGAUCCUCCCUCCUCAGCCUCCUAAGUAGCUGGGACUACAGGCACACGCCGCCAUGCCAGGUUCAUUUUUAAAUUUUUUUGUAGAGACAGUGUCUCGCUAUGUUGCCCAGCCUGGUCUCGAACUCCUGACAUCGAGAUCCACCUACCUUGGCCUCCCAAAGUGCUGGGAUUACAGGCAUGAGUCACCGCGCCCAAUCCUCCACCAGCAAUUUUCAUUCUGCUUUUACCAAUAAGAACCAGAGUCAUCUGAAUCACUGGGAUGCACAGAGUAUUACAUACUUUAACUGUGUAUUUUAGUUAACUGACAGGACUUCCUUCAAAGGCAAAUGCCUGCAGACCAUCAUCUUCCUCUACUGGGCCAUCCUAGUCAUCAUUCUGGAAAACUCUGUUCUUUUGCCCAAUAGCUUCACACGCUGUGGUCCAGGGCUCUCUCUCACAAACAGCUUGACUGCCGCAACCUUCACACCAUGGGGGCCUGUGAGACACCCCACGUGGAUGGGUUGGGGCCAUGGCACAGGUCUCGAGGGUCCUGGGUGCUAAAGACUGUGCAGAAGGACGGGGUCUGACCAGUGAAGCAGCCGGCAACAUCUGCAGACAGUCACUGGCUCCAACUUUUGUUUUUGUCACUGUGUCACCCAGGCUGGAGUGCAGUGGUGCGACCUCAGCUCAUUGCAACCUCCGCCUCCUGGGUUCAAGUGAUUCUCCUGCCUCAGCCUCCCGAGUAGCUGGGAUUACAGGCAGGCACCACCACGCCUGGCUAAUUUUUUGUAUUUUUAGUAGCGAUGGGGUUUCAUCAUGUUGGCCAGGCUGGUCUCAAACAACUGACCUCAGGUGAUCCACCUGCCUCGGCCUCCCAAAGGGCUGGGAUUACAGGCGUGAGCCACCGCGCCUGGCCUCCAUUUAUUUGUAAAUAGAUAAUUCUCAACAGUAUGUUUACUCUGGAUAAACAUCAGUCAGUGCGUAGAACUGGUAAAUGUCAGAGAAAUGUAUCACUUAUCAGAGCGUCUCACAGUCUAGUCCUGUAUUUCUUCUGAACUCACGCUCUGCAAAGCCAGGGCUGAAUGUAUCUACCAUACCUGCUUGUUUACCUCCAAACCUUGCAAUACAUUUAUACAAAAUAUUUAUUUCACAGCUUAUCUUAAAACAAAUGUAAAAGGUAUCUUCAAAUAAAUCAGACUGAAUCUCU
rnacentral:lncRNA from 1 species